UAUCGCCCUCGUAGGGUGUGGAUAUACCUAAACAAUUAUUUAAGAUCAUACUAUGAUAUUAUUGUAAUGAUUUUAUUUCUGCUUAAUAUUACCCUAUAUAAAAUUAUUCUAUCGGUACCCUAUUGUCUUGCAGGAAUUAUAUUUAGGCCAGUCAUGUCUUUUUCCAUAGCUUAUUCAAAUGUUAUUUGACAAAUUCUUUGAAACAACAGGUCUACACUGACAGUGAAAUGCGUGCUUAAUUUCCAAUAAUGUAAUGUAAGGUAUAAGGAAACGGUAAGUAUAAGGAAAAUAGCCAUACACACUGUUUCGGCGCAUAUUUACAGGGAGAACCAGUACUAAACUGCAGGUGUUUGACAAGGCUAUUUCCUGUUGUUGUUAUGUUUACAGUAAAGCUUACAGUUAGGGUUAGAGUUAGAACUGGUUUUUGGGGUUAUGGUAAUGUUAAGUUUAGCCAAGUUUAAGGGUAGGAUUAGGAAAUAGGGAAUAUUCAGUACGAUAAUUGAGAAAUGUAAUGCGUUUUUGUUAAAUGUUUAGAGGUGGCUUGAUGAGGUGAGCACAGUCCUGUUGAUGCUUAUGGGCUGGAUGUCCAGUUGUGGAGGGCCACAGUGAAAGAACAGCUCAGUUGGCUGUAAUUUAUUUUGUCAUGAUUGACCUGAAUUGCCUGCUUGCCCUCUGACUUUCACUUGAUCGUUUCUGGAAGUGGUUGACCAGGUUAGGGUUAAAAUCACUCUGUUGAGGUUAGUGUUUGUGAUCAUUUUUCUCUUUGAGCAUCCUUGCCCAGGAGUUAUGAAGGACCUCGAUGGAGGACAGAUGGCAGUCAAUGACCCUCUUUCUGCACACCGAACAAUGCCCUGCAGUUUACCAAUGCAAUGGGCAGGCUCAUACCCAAACCAGAAGGUACUGGAAGAGCUUACUGUACGCUCAGGAAACCCCAGCUCCAGAGUCCGACGCAGGCAGGUUGAGAAGGCAUCCAAUGAGAAGGUCGCCAUGGAGUUGAGCCUUCUCCUGGCAAAACCACUAACAAGGGUGGAUAAACCCUGCCUCAUAGACCCCCAAAAAUGUUCCAGUUUGGAGACUGCUCCAUUCCUGAGAAGUGGAGAACAAGGCUCGGUGAAAAGUAGGACAACUGACCUGAAAGAAAAUGGUUCUCUACCCUCGAUCCGGCCACACAGUUGUGGUGGAAUAAGGAGCACAAGAAGGUAAUAAGAUCACAGCAAUCAAAGGUGCGGAGAAGGGUUAGCGUGGCAGAGGCACAAGACAGACAGAUCAAAAUGCUCCCUGGAUCACCAAGGUGGCAGAUCUACACACCUCUUCUAUUUGGAGGGUUACAAGUUUCAGUUGGACCUGUUCAAUUAACACAUAGGUAGAUUAAAUCUUAAUGUAUUGUCCAAGUCGUAGGCAUGGUAGACUGUACCAUUUCCUCGAGUCAAGAACUGAAUAAAAUCUGUUGAGCUUCUAUCCCCAAGUUAUGCGACUCUUAUACUACUAAAUGAUGAAUCAAAUGGACCAGUGGACAAAAUGGACCAGUUGAAAAUACAUUUCGGACUCCCCCAAUAACAGAAUUCUGCAAGCAUUCGUGCUCUCACCUCUACACCAAUGACUGUAUUUCCAACAUUUAACGCCUGAGAGUCAGAGCCAGUGUGGUAGAAUUCAACCAUAGUUCUAUAUUCACGCUGUGUCUGUUCGAUGGCUCGUCUGAGGUCAUAGAAGGGUUUCUUGUAAACGUCUUGAUUUGUGUUCCGCUUUUUGUUGAGGUAUGUACUUAGUCACUGUGGGGAUGAAGCCACCGAUUUACUUGUUAAUGAGCCCGCUGACCGUUGAGGCGAAGCCCUAAAUGUUAUCUGAUAAAUCGCUGAAAAUAAUGUGGUAUGCGUUCACAAAACAGUCAAGCAGUUUGGGAUCCGCUUUAUAUGACCACUUCUGUAUUGAGCGUGCCACUCGUUCUUCCUGUUAAGAGUUUUUGCUCGUAGGCUGGGAACAGGAGGAUGUGGCUAUGGUCUGAGUUUGUCAAAAGCAGGCCAAGGUAUGGCCUUUGUGAGUGUAGAAUAAAAGUUAUCUACAGUUGUGUCACUACUUUAUGAUGUAAAACAGAUUUUCAGUUUUCCAGUAUUAAAACCAUGUGUGGGUUUGCAAACAAUAGAGUUACAGUAUUACAAACCAUUCGUCUUGAAUAUUCCUUCUUUUUAUAAUAUGGAUUGAACAAUAAAUAUUACCAUACAUUA